UGAUGAGAGGUGUCCCUUCCCAUGGCAGGGGAUUGGAAUUAGAUGAUCUUUAAGGUCCCUUCCAACCUAAGCCACUUUAUGAUUCUGUUGAAGCCAGAUGUAAUGCUCCUGUGGCUGCUGCUGCAUCAUAUCCCCAGUGCAUCAACCACCUCUGAGGAACCCUUGGGUCACCAGGAGAGACACUGGCUGGGUCAGCAAGUAAGCCUAAGCUCGAAAGAGAGAAAAAAAGUCCGUCUGUAGACGCAUGUACUGCUAAAAACAAAAACCAGCCUACACGCAGAAGAGCGGCAGCCCCUACAUUGCGGUGUGCGUCCACACACAGCCCGUUGUUCCAGAAACUCCAUCUCCCUUCAGCUGUGAUCACUCCUGACUGUUUGCAGUCUGUGUGCAGUGACGUGCAUGGAAUAUUACUAUGAAAAUGUAUCUUUGAAAGACAAAGCAGCUUGGCUCUGCGAGCUGCAUAGAAGUGACUACAAAGACCAGAGUGUGAGUUACCAGCUGAGACUUUUGGACCUGGGAUAACAAGCUGCAAACCUCUUCAACUGCCUCACGCGUCAAAAGACUCUCCAUCUGUCAUUAAUAUGCAUCAAAGAUAAGGAUGCCUGUGGGUCAGGAUGAGCAGAAAAACAGUCCUACUCUGCAACAGAGAAUUCAAGGAGCCCAGGGACCUAACCCAAAUCUGGAGGGAGAGUUUUAGAAAAGCAUUUAAGUGGCAGGUUCCAGUGCAAGUCAGAACCAUGCUUGUAAAUCAACAAGAUCCUUUAAAAAUCCCACCGUGUCACCUGCCCUCAGCAUCUAGAGUGGUUGUUUAUUUUGCAGACAUCUUCACAAUUCCAUUCUCAAGAUUAUAAUUCACUUGGUGGUACCGCAGUUCUCGCACCCUUGAAGUUAAGUAAAUGGUUAAGUGCAGUGGUGGUUCAGAGCUAGAAGACUCUCUACCUUGCAGGAUUGAGCCCUUUAAUCUAUUCUUAUUUCCUUUUCAAUUUCUGCAAGUAACCCCAAGCAAGCUGGAAACACUAAGUGCAAAGUUACGGGAGAUGACUGUGGCAAUUUCUGAAUGACAAGAGCAUUUAAAAGAAAUGUCAAGAGUCUGUGGGCUGCAAGCUUUUAUGUUUCAAGGAGAAACAAAAAGAAAGGAGGGACAAUAAAUCAAACACAACAGCUUAGCGUGCUCCAUCUCUCAGAGUUAACCUCUUGAAAGCCAUGUCCCCGGCACAGAGUGGGCCACACUCUUUGAUAGGGUCCAUUAUUCUCUGUAGAGCAAUAGAGGUGGUAUGGUGGGCUCCUCCGUGCGUGCCCAGGGGCUGUGUACACUGCGCCUUGCUUAACAUGUGCUCUGCAUUUAUGGGUUAACAUCAAACAUGAGCUGAUUUAUAAUUCUUAAUCAAAAAAGGAUUAUAACCUAAUAAAUCCUACUAACAUAUUCUGUCUGGAGGUUAUGUGGUGUAGUUGUAUAAUAUACUGGUAGCCUCAUUCUCCUAAGACUGGAAGACUGGACAAAGUU
ensembl:lncRNA